rnacentral:rRNA from 1 species
UACGUAGGGGGCAAGCGUUGUCCGGAUUUAUUGGGCGUAAAGCGCUCGCAGGUGGUUCGUUGCGUCGUGCGUGAAAGACCCCGGCUCAACUGGGGAGGGUCGUGCGAUACGGGCGAACUGGAGGCCAGUAGGGGGAUGCGGAAUUCCGGGUGUAGUGGUGGAAUGCGUAGAGAUGUGGAGGAACACCGAUGGCGAAGGCAGCCCCCUGGGUCAAGAUUGACGCUCAUGCACGAAAGCGUGGGGAGCAAACAGG